UUGGCCGUGAAGAUCAUAAACAUGGCGGGUUUGUCUUACCGAGAAGAGGAAAUGUUCUUGGAUGUCAUUUGCACAGCUUCUAAACUGAAGCACCCCAACAUCAUACCACUCAAUGGUUACUGUUUGGAGCACGGAGAGCAUCUUCUUGUUUAUGAUUACUUUGGAAAUUUAACUCUAUAUGAUGCUCUUCAUAGUGGAGCAUGUGAAACACUAUCGUGGAUCCAACGUCUUCGGAUUGCUCUAUAUGUUGCUCAGGCUUUGGAGUGAGUUGCUCUAAAUUUUAGAUGUAGAAUCAUAGUUAAUGCUGUCUUAACUAUAAAAACUCAUUGAAAUGUUUUCAGCUAUUUGCAUUCAGCGUGCUGCCCGCCUGUGGCCCAUGGUAAUUUGAAGUCUGCCAACGUUCUACUGGAUGAAAAUUUGAUCCCUCGUGUUUGUGACAGUAGCUUGGCAAUUUUGAGACCAUUGACGAAGGUUCUAGCAGCUAAAGUAAUUGAUAAGGCUACUGAGACUACAAUUACAGAGAGAGGCUACGCUCCAUCUGACCAUGGCCAAACAGGGUUCAGCAGAAGGAGAGAUGUCUUUGCCUUUGGAGUAUUGCUUCUGGAAUUGUUAACAGGAAGGAAACCUUUCGACGGUGCCAGGCCAAGGGAAGAGCAAUAUCUGUCAAAAUGGGCUUUCCCCAGGCUUCGUGAUAGCGCGAGUUUGGAACAGAUAGUAGAUUCCAGUAUGAAAACAACAAUUUCAUUCAAAGCUCUUUCUUGUUAUGCUGAUCUCGUUUCCCUCUGUAUACAGGUAUUAUUAACACCUAAUCUUAUAAUUCAAACUGAAUAAGAAAUUGAAAAACCUCAGUAAUUGUGUGUUUUGAACAGCCUUCAAGACACCUCCGUCCCCAAAUGUCUGAAGUUGUGAACUCUCUUGUAUCUUUAUACCAAAAGUUCAACUUUGCAAAGACCAGUGUAGCAGACGGUACUGAUCUAUUUGAGAAGUCUCUCCGAUCAGCCGACACACGCUUUAAAAGUUCGCCAACAUUUAGCCAUCUAUCAGCUUGAUGUACAUCAUCUGUUUGUGUCACAGAAACCAGUGAUAUUAAUGAGCUAUAAAUUUGCAGUUUAUGCCAGUUCCAGCACCUUUCUCUGUAAAUAUCCUUCUGUACAGUCCUACUACAUGAGUUUUUUUUUUUUGGUUUUGGAAUAGUCCUACUACACACACGAGAUUGCUUGUGUCGCCUGUGGAAGGAAGCGAAAAACAAAUCAAUGAACAUUUUGUAAAGUUCU